ACAACUGUAACUUACUUCACAAACGCUCC
rnacentral:sRNA from 1 species